AGGUCAAAUUGAUGGAUAAGAGAUGUUAUAAGUUAUCAUUUCUACACUUUGUUUCCCUAACAAUCACUUUGUUCCAAAAUUUACGUCAAUUUUUCAUAGAUCUAGAUAUUUGUUACAUCAAUCUUCUUGGAGCCUUCCUAUCUUUAGGAGACGAUGACAUCCAGAUGUAUAUUAAAUUCUUUAUUUCAGACCAAGUACUUUUUGAAAUGAUAUGAUUCUUUGUUGUUUCUCUCUGAUUUCUUGAAAUUCCCAACAGAAAUCUAUUGCAUACAUCUGUAAUGCUUGUUAAUAAGUUUGUGAUGGGAGAAUGAGUCAAACAAUUGUAGCUGGCAGAUCAAUAGUAGAUGCCUCAUUUAGGUAGUCACUUGAUCUGAUGACAGUUUGCAUGUCAUGCAUGAGAGAAGGAAACCAUUUACCCGGAGCUGUUCUUUGCGCAGAAGCCUGAUAUAUGAUGGAUCAUUUUGAUAGUGAUUAUAGUGUUGGAUUUGAAGUAUCUGAUGAUCUCAACCAGGUCUUAAAUCAAAGGUAUCCUAGAGGCAAGAAUUAUAUUUUGAGAACUUCUCUAGGUGCAAAACUCAGAGCAAGGCAUUGCAAAGGUCAAUUUUUUGUCAGGAGAUUCAGAAAAAUCUUCAUUAACCAAGGACAUUCUGGAUGAAGACUAACAUCUUGUUGGAUAAUGUCAAACAGACUGAAAAGUUUUGUUCUGGCCUGCUACCUUUUAGUCCAAAACCGACUCCUCUGCCACCAGAUACUUUGCUCGGGGCCUGGUUUCAAGAUGCUAAUCUUUACAUUGCCGAAAAUGGUAUCAAAACUUCUGUUAAACAUGAAGUUGUUGUUACAACAGUUGUGGAAAAAGAGGACUGCUUGUUCCCAGAUCCUGCAAAGUUUGGCCUCAAUUUUUAUGCUCUUUCUAGAGAGAAUAUGGCCAGUAUAGGGGGACCUGAUCCAUGGGAUGUUUGUAAUUCAGGUCCUUCUGAAUACCACAAGCUAUGCUGCCUGCUAGGGUCGAUGGGAACUCGCAUAAAUGGAUUAAUGCUGGGAGUCAGAGUUAAAACAGAUGAGUUUAUAAGGAAUAGUAGAGGAAGUCAUUCAGCUCCUCCAUUAUACCAAAGCAAGAAGUUCUUUGCCACGAACGAGUCUUCAAGAACGGCAGCAGGAGAAGGAAAUAACAAUAUUAAGACUAUCCGCUCUACCCUCAACUCUCUGCCCAAUCAUAUUAUGCAAGUUGUUAAGCUCCCGUCUUCUGUUGUUCAGGCCAUGGAGCGCUAUGAACGCAACUUUCUUGAGGAAUAACUCCCAUAAAGAAAAGGCUUCAUCUGGUUUGUUGGUCCACUGUCACAGCCCUAAGGACCAAGGGGGUUUAGGCAUCCAGGACCUUAGAACAAAAAAUAAUGCUCUUCUUGCAUCUAAUGCCUGGCGACUCCACAACUCACAAAAUAAUUUGUGGGCCAUGAUCUUGCGGAAUAAAUACUCUCGCUCCUUACCUAAUUCAACUGCUGCCUCCGAACUUGGAAAACUUUGCAGCAAGGUUGGAAAUAUUGCGAAUCUGGGAUUCUUUGGAGACCUAGUACAGUCACCACAUCAACUUCUGGAACCAGCCCUGCAUUAAGCCUGGCCUGGCUCUCCGUACACUCAUCCAAGGUCCGCUUCUUCGCCAUGAACUGGCCAGUACAAUUAGCCAAUACCGAUCGGGCAAUAGUUGGAAUUUCUCAACUCUAUCCUUUGACCUGCCUCACCAUGUCCUUAGGCUACUUCAGUCGGUCUACUUCCCUCAAUAUACUACUGCCUCUGAUCGACUCUCUUGGGGCCUAACACCUUCUGGCAAGUUUACUGUGCAUUCUUGCUAUAACACUCUCUCUCAGUCGACUCAUACCACUCAGCCCUCAACUCUUGCUUAUGCUUUGAUUUGGAAGUUGUCAUUACCUCCUAAAAUCAGGCAUUUUCUCUGGUUAUUACACCAUGGGCGACUGCCAAUCUCUUGCUGCCUUCACCACAUCUCUUGCAUCCCCUUGCCAGUCUGUCAGCUUUGUAAUUCAGGUGAUGUGGAAUCUAUAACCCACCUUUUUCUUACAUGCUCUAAGAUUGCUUCUUUCUGGGAAGAACUGGGCAUUCUGCCUCAAAUUUUGUCCUUAGCUGACCCUCAGAGAUAUCCUUAUUCUUGGCUGGAAUCUUUCCUUUCCUCACAUAGCAAGGGUUACAUUGGGAUGACCCCUAGAUUGAUUUUUCUAGCCUUCUGCCUAUGGUAUAUUUGGACCCAACGAAACAAAUAUAUCUUUGAGGGCAAGCAUUUCAUGCCUUCUCCCGCCCUUGUCUCUCACCUUGCCAUUGAGUAUUGUUUUUUGGCAGGAAAAACGCAGCACUCGACUGUAAAAUCUCCUUUAUACGUUAAAUGGAAUCCAGCCAGUAACCAUUUUAUGUUAAAUAUCGAUGGUGCUUUUAUACCUGCUUCUUUUACUUUAGGUGGUAUAGGAGGGGUGUUUAGUAAUCAUUAUGGUGAUUGGAUCUUGGGUUUUUCAGGCCUUUUGGUCACUGCGGAUGCCUUAGACACCGAAUUACAUGCUUUACUCAAGGGCUUACAAUAAGCAUUGGAUCGUCAUCUUUUGCCUCUGGAAAUAAAUGUGGAUGCUCAGCUGCUAGUCGAUUGUUGUACACUGAUUUUACUAACAUUUCACCUCUUUUGCUUGACUGCAGGUGCCUCCGAAUGAUCCUACUGUCCGCCAUGUCUACAGAGAGCAGAACAAACUAGCAGAUAGCCUAGCAGUUUUAGCUUUUAGCAGCACAGGAAGCACCCCUACUGUUUUGACUACUACGUUUUCGAGCCCUCCUCCAUCAACUUUGGUUGUUUUGUGCAGACAAGUAAGGAGAAGAGUGAACACAAAUUCAGUUCUUUCAGCCCACUCUUCAUCUAUGUAUAUACAUGGAAGUACCUCUACUCCUUCUAGUGCUCCUGUGAUGUAUGUAAAUAUUGUUGUUCCUGCUAGUUCAGUGACAGUGCCACAAGUCUGUGUAGACAAUUUUUGACAUAAUAAUAUAUUUCCUUGUUCAGCCAAAAAAAAAUUUAUGAAGAAUCUCAUGAUGUGCCACUACUCACGCCAGAAACUAGAGCUGUACAUAUAUGAAAGCUUCAAACAGAUCUAGAAAAGCACAUUGAAAAAAAAAGCGGCACCAACAGAAACAGGGUGGAAAUUCAUUGGAAAAGACCAGCUUAUAAUGUUGAUUAUUCAAAGACAUAUCCCUCUUUUACAUUCUCAAGGACUAAAAAUCAUAAAUUACAACAGUUUUUUAUCGGUA